rnacentral:rRNA from 1 species
GACGAACGCUGGCGGCGUGCUUAACACAUGCAAGUCGAACGGUGAACGAGGGAGCUUGCUCCCUCCGGAUCAGUGGCGAACGGGUGAGUAACACGUGAGCAAUCUGCCCCGAACUCUGGGAUAAGCGUUGGAAACGACGUCUAAUACCGGAUACGACGCGGGAGGGCAUCCUCUCCGCGUGGAAAGAACUUCGGUUCGGGAUGAGCUCGCGGCCUAUCAGCUUGUUGGUGAGGUAAUGGCUCACCAAGGCGACGACGGGUAGCCGGCCUGAGAGGGUGACCGGCCACACUGGGACUGAGACACGGCCCAGACUCCUACGGGAGGCAGCAGUGGGGAAUAUUGCACAAUGGGCGCAAGCCUGAUGCAGCAACGCCGCGUGAGGGACGACGGCCUUCGGGUUGUAAACCUCUUUUAGCAGGGAAGAAGCGAAAGUGACGGUACCUGCAGAAAAAGCACCGGCUAACUACGUG